GCCUGAGAGAUUUUCGAAGGCUUUCCAUGAAGUUCAUCGGGAACUUGUAUACGAAGAUCUGAGUUUGGAUGCUUCCUGCAGGUUUAUAAGCUCAUAAAAAAUUUCCAGACAAUAGUUUUUUGGCUGGCUCUGUACUUGUUCUAAUAUUUUUAUUGAUAUGUUACCUAUUUUAGUUUUCAAGGAAAGAAGGUAAAAUGGAUCUUAAUUUAGAACCAAGCUGUAUGGCAUCUUUGUUUUGUUAAUGUGGUGGCUUUCCUUUUCAUUUCUGCCCCCCAUAGUGGAUGAUCGGAGGGAUUUUAGCAUCUGAUGUUACUCAAAGCUGACUUGUGGAAAUAAAUUAUGUGGGAGUCUUAAAAGGUUCGAGCACAGUUUAACA